GGUUAAGCGACUAAGCGUACACGGUGGAUGCCCUGGCAGUCAGAGGCGAUGAAGGGCGUGCUAAUCUGCGAUAAGCGCCGGUAAGGUGAUAUGAACCGUUAUAACCGGCGAUACCCGAAUGGGGAAACCCAGUGUGAUUCGUCACACUAUCAUUAACUGAAUCCAUAGGUUAAUGAGGCGAACCGGGGGAACUGAAACAUCUAAGUACCCCGAGGAAAAGAAAUCAACCGAGAUUCCCCCAGUAGCGGCGAGCGAACGGGGAGGAGCCCAGAGCCUGAAUCAGCAUGUGUGUUAGUGGAAGCGUCUGGAAAGGCGCGCGAUACAGGGUGACAGCCCCGUACACAAAAGCGCAUGUGCUGUGAGCUCGAUGAGUAGGGCGGGACACGUGGUAUCCUGUCUGAAUAUGGGGGGACCAUCCUCCAAGGCUAAAUACUCCUGACUGACCGAUAGUGAACCAGUACCGUGAGGGAAAGGCGAAAAGAACCCCGGCGAGGGGAGUGAAAAAGAACCUGAAACCGUGUACGUACAAGCAGUGGGAGCACCCUUUUGGGUGUGACUGCGUACCUUUUGUAUAAUGGGUCAGCGACUUAUAUUCUGUAGCAAGGUUAACCGAAUAGGGGAGCCGGAGGGAAACCGAGUCUUAACCGGGCGUUAAGUUGCAGGGUAUAGACCCGAAACCCGGUGAUCUAGCCAUGGGCAGGUUGAAGGUUGGGUAACACUAACUGGAGGACCGAACCGACUAAUGUUGAAAAAUUAGCGGAUGACCUGUGGCUGGGGGUGAAAGGCCAAUCAAACCGGGAGAUAGCUGGUUCUCCCCGAAAGCUAUUUAGGUAGCGCCUCGUGAAUUCAUCUCCGGGGGUAGAGCACUGUUUCGGCUAGGGGGCCAUCCCGGCUUACCAACCCGAUGCAAACUGCGAAUACCGGAGAAUGUUAUCACGGGAGACACACGGCGGGUGCUAACGUCCGUCGUGAAGAGGGAAACAACCCAGACCGCCAGCUAAGGUCCCAAAGUCAUGGUUAAGUGGGAAACGAUGUGGGAAGGCCCAGACAGCCAGGAUGUUGGCUUAGAAGCAGCCAUCAUUUAAAGAAAGCGUAAUAGCUCACUGGUCGAGUCGGCCUGCGCGGAAGAUGUAACGGGGCUAAAC
rnacentral:rRNA from 1 species